rnacentral:rRNA from 1 species
GCAAGUCGAGCGCGAGCGUAAGGAGCUUGCUCCUUACAAUCGAGCGGCGGACGGGUGAGUAACACGUGUGCAACCUACCCUUUAGACUGGGAUAACUACCGGAAACGGUAGCUAAUACCGGAUAAGAUGGAUUACACAAGUAAUCUUAAUGAAAGUGGAUAUAUCUGUCAGUAAAGGAUGGGCAUGCGGUGCAUUAGCUAGUUGGUGAGGUAGUGGCUCACCAAGGCAACGAUGCAUAGCCGACCUGAGAGGGUGAUC